UACGAAGGGGGCUAGCGUUGUUCGGAAUACUGGGCGUAAAGGGUUUGUAGGCGGUUGAACAAGUCAGAUGUGAAAGCCCAGGGCUUAACCCUGGAAUUGCAUUUGAAACUGUUCAGCUAGAGAGUGUUAGAGGAAAGUGGAAUUCCUAGUGUAGGAGUGAAAUCCGUAGAGAUUAGGAGGAAUAUCGAUGGCGAAGGCAGCUUUCUGGGACAUUUCUGACGCUGAGAAACGAAAGCGUGGGUAGCAAACAGG
rnacentral:rRNA from 1 species